GAACCUAUCUCCAAAUGAACACAUCCAGCUUUGGAUGUAAUCUUCCGAAUUUAAAAGGUCUGGAGGUUCCAUUUUGGAUGAGAUUUAAACGACAGACAGGAAGAUAACAGUUCUUUGAUGAUACAGUGUUCUACUUAGCUCUGGAGAGUCAAGUAAAAAUUAAUUGAAAUAAUAACUUAAGAAAAGUUACAGGAUAUAAAAUAAAUCUACAUAAAUUACCAACAUUUCUAUACCAACAAAACCCAGAUGGAAGAGAAAAAGGAGAAAUUCUAUUGAAAAUGUAUAUGAAAUUAUUGAGAGCCUAUCCACCAAGAUAACUAGAAAAUAGUCUUCAAACAUAUAGAUCAUACAAUUGGAAAAGCAUCAAUUUUUCAUGGAAAAUGUUACAGGUCUUCAGAGAACUGAGCAACUUGAGCCUGAGGAGCACAGACUUGCAUUACUGUGAUGUGAAUGGUUUGCCUUGGAUUCGAAUAUCAUUCUGUCACACUUGAAGUUCUACCCCAGGACUGCUUUUCUCCUAUUUUUAUUGAGAACUGUUUCAUUUCUUCUAAUGGAAUCUUGCUCACAGAUCAUCAGAAUUAAAUUUCCCGUUCAUUAUCAUUUAAAUUCACUGACAACCAUCAUCAGAAUUAAAUUGGCCAUUUAUAUCUUUUAAGUUCACU
rnacentral:lncRNA from 1 species